GAAAAGUCCAAGAGAAAAAAAAAUGAUGCUUAAGGGGAAGAAUAAAGGUGCCUUGGAGGGUCAAUUUUACAUCAAUAUGAUUUAAAGAACAAUAACUAAAUUGAAAAUUUUUCAAUAGUAAUGCAUAUUUCUAAUUGAUCUAAAUAGAUAAAACUUGUGCAUUUAAUUUGUAGUUAAAUCCCCUUCAUAGCAAUUGGCUUGUCCAAUGAAAA
rnacentral:lncRNA from 1 species